rnacentral:rRNA from 1 species
UACGGAGGGGGGCUAGCGUUGUUCGGAAUUACUGGGCGUAAAGCGCACGUAGGCGGCUUUGUAAGUUAGAGAUGAAAGCCCGGGGCUCAACCCCGGAAUUGCCUUUAAGACUGCAUCGCUUGAACAUCGGAGAGGUAAGUGGAAUUCCGAGUGUAGAGGUGAAAUUCGUAGAUAUUCGGAAGAACACCAGUGGCGAAGGCGACUUACUGGACGAUUGUUGACGCUGAGGUGCGAAAGCGUGGGGAGCAAACAGG